rnacentral:rRNA from 1 species
GGCAGACUUACCAUGCAGUCGAGCGGCAGCGACACAUUGAACCUUCGGGGGAUUUGUUGGGCGGCGAGCGGCGGACGGGUGAGUAAUGCCUGGGAAAUUGCCCUGAUGUGGGGGAUAACCAUUGGAAACGAUGGCUAAUACCGCAUGAUAGCUUCGGCUCAAAGAGGGGGACCUUCGGGCCUCUCGCGUCAGGAUAUGCCCAGGUGGGAUUAGCUAGUUGGUGAGGUAAGGGCUCACCAAGGCGACGAUCCCUAGCUGGUCUGAGAGGAUGAUCAGCCACACUGGAACUGAGACACGGUCCAGACUCCUACGGGAGGCAGCAGUGGGGAAUAUUGCACAAUGGGCGCAAGCCUGAUGCAGCCAUGCCGCGUGUAUGAAGAAGGCCUUCGGGUUGUAAAGUACUUUCAGCAGUGAGGAAGGAGGUAUCGUUAAUAGCGGUAUCUUUUGACGUUAGCUGCAGAAGAAGCACCGGCUAACUCCGUGCCAGCAGCCGCGGUAAUACGGAGGGUGCGAGCGUUAAAUCGGAAUUACUGGGCGUAAAGCGCAUGCAGGUGGUUUGUUAAGUCAGAUGUGAAAGCCCGGGGCUCAACCUCGGAAUUGCAUUUGACACUGGCAGGCUAGAGUAACUGUAGAGGGGGGUAGAAU